CUACUAAUGUUUGUGACUCUCCUUUUUUAUAUUCUAAAGGACAAUCCAGUAAAACAAUCUAAAAGAAAGAGGAAACUUUGUUGUAUCAUUAUCCACACAAAUCUAAACGACGAUGAGUAAUGUCUUUAUUUAAAACGAUUCCAUCAUACACCGCUAACGAAUGUCAUGAUAGUAAAGAGUUUUAAACAUUUUUUUUAAUCAAAUAAGUUUUAAAGCUAACCGGUAUCGUCUAUAGUACCCCCAGGAAUCUUUUCAACUUUAAUACAAUUCUGAUCGAGUAAAACAUUAAUUCAAGAACGACAACGCGUAAAGCUAUAGGAGGAAUGAUACGGUUCCACGUAUCGGAAAAUUUUGUAUUUAAGCCUUUAAAUUUG